rnacentral:tRNA from 1 species
GGGCCUGUAGCUCAGUUGGUAGAGCGCGUCCCUUGCACGGAUGAGGUCUCGGGUUCGAAUCCCGACGGGUCCA